rnacentral:rRNA from 1 species
UACAGAGGGGGCAAGCGUUGUUCGGAAUUACUGGGCGUAAAGCGUGCGCAGGCGGUUUUGUAAGUCUGUCGUGAAAUCCCCGGGCUCAACCUGGGAAUGGCGAUGGAGACUGCAAGGCUAGAGUUUGGCAGAGGGGGUAGAAUUCCACGUGUAGCAGUGGAAAUGCGUAGAUAUGUGGAGGAACACCGAUGGCGAAGGCAGCCCCCUGGGUCAAAACUGACGCUCAUGCACGAAAGCGUGGGGAGCAAACAGGAAUUGAGAA